rnacentral:rRNA from 1 species
UACGGGGGGGGUAAGCGUUGUUCGGAAUUACUGGGCGUAAAGGGCGCGUAGGCGGCCGCCUAAGUCAGACGUGAAAUCCCUCGGCUCAACCGGGGAACUGCGUCUGAUACUGGGUGGCUUGAAUCCGGGAGAGGGAUGCGGAAUUCCAGGUGUAGCGGUGAAAUGCGUAGAUAUCUGGAGGAACACCGGUGGCGAAGGCGGCAUCCUGGACCGGCAUUGACGCUGAGGCGCGAAAGCCAGGGGAGCAAACGGG